rnacentral:tRNA from 1 species
AUCUUUCUAGUAUAGCACCAGUAUACGUGACUUCCAAUCACCCGGCCCUAGUUAAAAUCUAGGGAAAGAUA